UACCUUGCCACAUGGCAAAACACAAAAAUUUAUUAACUGUAUUAGUAGACUUGAACAAUGUUCAAGGUUGAAGAUUCGGUUAUAUUAGCAUACAC
rnacentral:sRNA from 12 species